UAUGAGUUCAAGGCCAUACUGGUCUACAGAGUUCCAGGACAGCCAGAGCUACACAGUGAGACCUUAUCUCAAAAACAAAACAAUAGGACAAUGUAGUGCACACCUUGAAUCUUAGCACUUGAGAGUAGUUCACCUUGAAUACCAGCACUGGGGAGGCAAAGGCAGGUGGAUCUCUGAGAGUUCGAGGCCAGUCUGGUCUACAGAAUAAGUUCCAGGACAGUCAGGACAGCACAGAAAUCCUGUCACAAAAAAUCAAACCAAACUAACUUUAUUUUUAAUUAUAUAUAUGGGUAUGUGCAUGUAAGUGCAGGUAACCUCUGGGACCUGAAUCUUCUGGACCUGGAGUUACAUGUGGUUGUCAGCUGCUCUAUGUGGGUGUUAAGAACCAAACUUGAGCCCUCUACAAGUGCAGUAUGUGCUUUUAACCAUUGGCCUAUCUCUCCAACCCCUACACUUUUUCUUUUUUAUGAUUUAUUUUUAUUUCAUGUGCAUUCAUGUUUCUCCUGCAUGUAUGUAUAUGUGAAGUUGCUGGAUCCCCUGAAACUGGAAUUACAGACAGUUAUGAGCUGCCAUGUGGGUGCUGGGAAUUGAACCCAGAUCCUCUGGAAGAGCAGCCAGUGCUCUUAACCACUGAGCCACCUCUCCAGACCCCCCUUUUUCAAUCUUAACAAUCGGAAGGACAAGAAGAUGGCUCAGCAGAUAAAGGCACCUGCCACGUAGCCUGAGUUUAAUCCCCAGAACCCACCCGCAUGGCAGAAACAACCAACUCCUGAAAAAUUGUCCUCUGAUCUCUACUUGUGUGCUACAAUGUACACACACACACACACACACACCAGUUUACAAACAAAUAUAAAACAAUAAAACAACUGGAAGAAAACAAAUUCCAGCAGGAGAAUUGCUUAGUUACAUUGCCCCUCUGGUUCUAGGAAGAAAUAACUGUGAUGUGUUUUUGUAACUUGGUUAGCACUCUGCACUGCAAUUCACCAGUUUCAGGUUCAUACCCUUUCUAUGUUCCAGUUACUCACUCCUUCCUGUCUAUCCUGACCUCAUCACUCUGGAAGAGUACUGCUCUUAAUUUGGUAGAAUGUCUCUUACUUUGGGAUUUUUCCAGUGUUUCUUGUUUGUUUGUUUUCAGGAUGAGAUGGGAGUGGUAUAUUUUUUUUGCAAGAAUCUCAGCUAUAAUGCCUGUACAUGAUGUCAAUGUGUUAUUAAUAAUUUUAUCAUUUAUUAUUGCUGCUAUAACAAAUCACCACCGAUUUAACAUUUGAAAGCAAUAUCCAUUUGUUAUCUGUUUCUGGGGGUCAAAAGAGUGUGGCUAGCGUCCUGCUUUGACCUGGGAAUCACAAAGCCAAAGUCCAUGUGUGGGUGUGACUGCCUUCUUAUCUGAGUCAGAUUGCUGGUGAUUCCUUGAGAUCAUAUGCUGAACAAUGUCUUGUAGGCUGGCAGUUGAGACUGUCUCUCAGCUCCUGGAAGACACUUCCAUGCCGAUGUCACAUGGCCUCACAAAGACAGCAGAUUUUCCCCGCACACAGUCCUUCUCACGCUUUCUCUACUUCUAGACUCAAAUUUGAAAUGUUCCAUAAAGUUGGGCAUGUGGGACAUCGCUGUAAUCCCACUGCUUCGAAUAAAGCCUGAAGUUAAGGAUUGCUGCAAAUUUGAGUGACUACAAUGUGAGACCAAAUGUGAGACCCUAUUUCAAAGACAGGCAAGGGUGGAGAAAGAAGGGGAGGAGGAAAAAUAGUUGUCUCCGCUAGAAGUUUAUUUUGUUUUCAAGACAGGCUUUGGCUGUCCUUGAACUUGAUUUGUAACUACACUGGCCUUGAUGUCACAGAGAUUCACCUGCUUCUGCCUCCCAAGUACUGGGAUUAAAGCAAGAGUGAAAGCUGUGGAUCUGUCCGUCUGUCUGUUCUCCUCCAUGUUUGCACCAGCAGCACAGAUUUUUACCCAGCUGUAAAAGCAAUGAUCCUCAUCCACCCUGCUGUGUUAUUCUCCUGUGUAAGGCGAGUGGUCUAUAACCCCCUAUACGCAUCCCUGGCUGGGAAUUACAUCCUCAGAGGCAAAUGAAAGAAGACCAAUAGCCUAAGGUAGGCAUCAUCAUGCUUGCAGGUGACUGCAGUGACCAGGGAAGCUAGCACAGGAGGUUCAUGUAAAUUGCAGAAUUUGAAGUCAGACUGGGCAACAUAUUAAGAUCCUAUCUCAAAAGAAAAAUGUUUUAAAAUAAAUGUUCUCAUCAUG